rnacentral:piRNA from 1 species
CUUCCACCCCAUGAGAAUAAAGAUG